GGAUGCUGACGAGUGGCGAACGGGUGAGUAAUACAUCGGAACGUGCCCGAUCGUGGGGGAUAACGCAGCGAAAGCUGUGCUAAUACCGCAUACGAUCUACGGAUGAAAGCGGGGGACUCACAAGGGCCUCGCGCGGACGGAGCGGCCGAUGGCAGAUUAGGUAGCUGGUGGGAUAAAAGCUUACCAAGCCGACGAUCUGUAGCUGGUCUGAGAGGACGACCAGCCACACUGGGACUGAGACACGGCCCAGACUCCUACGGGAGGCAGCAGUGGGGAAUUUUGGACAAUGGGCGCAAGCCUGAUCCAGCCAUGCCGCGUGCAGGAUGAAGGCCUUCGGGUUGUAAACUGCUUUUGUACGGAACGAAGAAGCUCUCUCUAAUAAAGGGGGUGAAUGACGGUACCGUAAGAAUAAGCACCGGCUAACUACGUGCCAGCAGCCGCGGUAAUACGUAGGGUGCAAGCGUUAAUCGGAAUUACUGGGCGUAAAGCGUGCGCAGGCGGUUAUGUAAGACAGAGGUGAAAUCCCCGGGCUCAACCUGGGAACUGCCUUUGUGACUGCA
rnacentral:rRNA from 1 species